rnacentral:rRNA from 1 species
GACGAACGCUGGCGGCGUGCCUAAUACAUGCAAGUCGAACGCAGUGGGGACGGGUGAGUAACACGUGGGUAACCUCCCAUCAGCGGGGAUAACACUUGGAAACAGGUGCUAAACCGAUACUGAUGGAUGGACCCGCGGUGCAUUAGCUAGUUGGUGGGGUAACGGCUCACCAAGGCGACGAUCUAUAGCUGGUCUGAGAGGAUGAUCAGCCACACUGGGACGUGGACACGGCCCAGACUCCUACGGGAGGCAGCAGGGGGGAAUAUUGGACAAGGGGCGCAAGGCUGAUGCGGCAAUGCCGCGGGGAUGAAGAAGGCCUUGGGGUUGUAAAGUACUUUCAGCAGGGAGGCGGUACCUGCAGAUGAAGCAACGGCUAACUCCGUGCCAGCAGCCGCGGUAAUAC